CACAAAUCACAAAUCCAAUCAACCGCAAACUCAAACAACCAAGUCUGACUCAUACAAGCAUCUCAUAAACCAAAGCACAAAUCAGUUUAAGCUUUAAAGGUUACUCUUUUUUUUUUUUUUCGUUUCUUUUAGAUCUAGGGUUGAAGGGUUUGAUUUCGGAAAUUUUGAGGCUAAAAACGUAUAGAGGAGAGGGAGUAGAAUAGAAAGAACAAAAAAAAAAGGAAAAAAGGAGUGAUUUUAACUCCGGUGCGGCGGCGGCGCCGCAAUGGCUCGCCAGCCACCGCACCGGAGAUACCUCCGGCCACCGCUCUUCUCACCGGAGAAGAUGAAGAAAGGAAGGAGAGAGAAGAGAGCUUCUCUCUCUAAAAGAAGGUAGAGAGAGAAAGAAGUUAGGGAAAUGAAGGAAAAUGGGUUUGCAACCCAUGUAUACCUCCCUAACCGGUUCGGUUCUCCUGGACCCGACCCAGACCUGAACCGAACCGCCCCCUAGCCUGUCUCCAUAACCCAUUUUCUUUUCACUUUUAUUUUUUGCACCCACUUUACUGCUCGCACACCCCCCAGCAUCUCAUUUUUUUAUUUCUUUUUCAUGCA
rnacentral:lncRNA from 1 species